AAGAUAGCUGUCAGUACGGUUUUGUAAAAUGUCAAGCGUGCGGUGAAACUGUGGAGAGAAGACAGCUCACGGCGCACAGGGAGCAAGAUUGUACCAACAGGGCAGUGGCGUGUACUUACUGUGGUGGUGAAGUUCGGCAUAGCUAUAUGAAGGUUCACAAGUAUCUUCAAAGGUCAAUAAGGAGAACAUGUACUUUGCUAUGACUGUUUGUUGAAAAAUACAA